rnacentral:rRNA from 1 species
GGGCUGAAGAAGGUCCCAAGGGUUCGGCUGUUCGCCGAUUAAAGAGUUACGCGAGCUGGGUUCAGAACGUCGUGAGACAGUUCGGUCCCUAUCCUUCGUGGGCGCAGGAAAUUUGAGGAGAUCCGCAUCUAGUACGAGAGGACCGGUGUGGACGAACCUCUGGUGUACCGGUUGUGAUGCCCAUUGCAUUGCCGGGUAGCUAAGUUCGGACGGGAUAACCGCUGAAAGCAUCUAAGCGGGAAGCCUACUCCAAGAUGAGAUUUCCCCUGAGACCGGUGGGAGACUACCACCUUGAUAGGUCACAGGUGUAAGGUGGGUAACCACUUCAGCCGAGUGAUACUAAUCGGUCGAUUGACUUUCACCA